rnacentral:rRNA from 1 species
AUUGAACGCUGGCGGAAUGCUUUACACAUGCAAGUCGAACGGCAGCACGGACUUCGGUCUGGUGGCGAGUGGCGAACGGGUGAGUAAUGUAUCGGAACGUGCCCAGUCGUGGGGGAUAACGUAGUGAAAAUUACGCUAAUACCGCAUACGAUCUAUGGAUGAAAGCGGGGAAUCGCAAGCCCUCGCGCGAUUGGAGCGGCCGAUAUCAGAUUAGGUAGUUGGUGGGGUAAAGGCCCACCAAGCCAACGAUCUGUAGCUGGUCUGAGAGGACGACCAGCCACACUGGAACUGAGACACGGUCCAGACUCCUACGGGAGGCAGCAGUGGGGAACUUUGGACAAUGGGCGAAAGCCUGAUCCAGCCAUUCCGCGUGCAGGAUGAAGGCCCUCGGGUUGUAAACUGCUUUUGUACAGAACGAAAAGGUUUCUACUAAUACUAGGAGCUCAUGACGGUACUGUAAGAAUAAGCACCGGCUAACUACGUGCCAGCCGCCGCCGUAA